GCGGAAGGAUCAUUAAAGAGUUAGGGUCUCUACAGGCCCGAUCUCCAACCCUCUGUUGUUAUAACUACAUCGUUGCUUUGGCGGGACCGCCCGGUCAAACGGGCUGCCGGUCUUCGGCCCGGCAAGUGCCCGUCAGAGUCAAACCAAAACUCUUGUUUUAACCGGUUGUCUGAGUAAAACUUUUAAUUAAAUUAAAACUUUCAACAACGGAUCUCUUGGUUCUCGCAUCGAUGAAGAACGCAGCGAAAUGCGAUAAGUAAUGUGAAUUGCAGAAUUCAGUGAAUCAUCGAAUCUUUGAACGCACAUUGCGCCCCUUGGUAUUCCGAGGGGCAUGCCUGUUCGAGCGUCAUUACACCACUCAAGCUCAGCUUGGUAUUAGGCCAUCGUCCCGCGAAAGCAGGGCGUGCCUCAAAAACCUCGGCGGAGCCUCACCGGCUUUGGGCGUAGUAGAAUUUCUCAACGUCCUUGAAGUCUCCGGUAGGGCCUCCUUUGCCGUUAAAACCCAAACUUUUCAAGGUUGACCUCGGAUCAGGUAGGGAUACCCGCUGAACUUAAGCAUAUCAAUAAGCGGAGGAAAAGAAACCAACAGGGAUUGCCCCAGUAACG
rnacentral:rRNA from 1 species